rnacentral:rRNA from 1 species
AAUUUUGGACAAUGGGGGCAACCCUGAUCCAGCCAUCCCGCGUGUGCGAUGAAGGCCUUCGGGUUGUAAAGCACGUUUGGCAGGGAAGAAAAGCCGCGGGUUAAUACCCUGCGGUGCUGACGGUACCUGCAGAAGAAGCACCGCCUACCUACGUGCCAGCCGCCGCGGUAAUACGUAGGGUGCAAGCGUUAAUCGGAAUUACGGGGCGUAAAGCGUGCGCAGGCGGUUCGGCAAGAAGGAUGUGAAAUCCCGGGGCUUAACCUCGGAGCUGCAUUCUUAACUGCCGGGCUAGAGUAUGUCAGAGGGGGGUAGAAUUCCGCGUGUAGCAGUGAAAUGCGUAGAGAUGCGGAGGAAUACCGAUGGCGAAGGCAGCCCCCUGGGAUAAUACUGACGCUCAUGCACGAAAGCGUGGGGAGCAAACA